GUGAAUCAUCGAAUUUUUGAACGUAAAUUGCACUCUCUUCGGAGAGUAUGCCUGUUUGAGGGUCAGCCUAAAAAAAAUCGACAUAGUCGCUGUUUCGCGGUGACAUUCGUCGGAAAUUGGGUCACCUUAAACCUUUGGGUUUUAAGCGAUUUAAAAUUUUUUUUUUGGUUUCAUGAAUGUUUCUAAGAUUUAUUUCUUAAUACGUUUAUGGUAUCGAUUUUUAUUAGUCGUGACCAUCAUAUCGGAUCGCGCCCAUAUCUUUUCAUUUAC
rnacentral:misc_RNA from 1 species